rnacentral:rRNA from 1 species
UACGUAGGGUGCGAGCGUUGUCCGGAAUUACCGGGCGUAAAGAGCUCGUAGGUGGUUUGUCGCGUUGUUCGUGAAAUCUCACGGCUUAACUGUGAGCGUGCGGGCGAUACGGGCAGACUUGAGUACUGCAGGGGAGACUGGAAUUCCUGGUGUAGCGGUGGAAUGCGCAGAUAUCAGGAGGAACACCGGUGGCGAAGGCGGGUCUCUGGGCAACAACUGACGCUGAGGAGCGAAAGCGUGGGGAGCGAACAGG